rnacentral:lncRNA from 1 species
AGGAUUGUCUCUCUUUGCUGGAUAGAAUUGCAUUGAAAUCCCCUGCAAUAAUCCAAGGAUUAGUAAUACUAGCUGAUAAGUUCAAGAUAGAAUUCCACAGCAUCCUCCUCUGAUCACAAUCAUUAAAUCCAAAAACUACUGAGAGCCAGCAGAUAACACCACCAGUGUUAUGUUGAACUUGACAAUGAAUGAUUUGAGCCUCCUCAAGAUAUCCUGUAACCACUACUUUUGUAGGAUCCCACAGAAUCCAAAUUCUC